GACGAACGCUGGCGGCGUGCUUAACACAUGCAAGUCGAACGGAAAGGCCCUGCUUUUGUGGGGUGCUCGAGUGGCGAACGGGUGAGUAACACGUGAGUAACCUGCCCUUGACUUUGGGAUAACUUCAGGAAACUGGGGCUAAUACCGGAUAGGAGCUCCUGCUGCAUGGUGGGGGUUGGAAAGUUUCGGCGGUUGGGGAUGGACUCGCGGCUUAUCAGCUUGUUGGUGGGGUAGUGGCUUACCAAGGCUUUGACGGGUAGCCGGCCUGAGAGGGUUACCGGCCACAUUGGGACUGAGAUACGGACCAGAAGCCUACGGGAGGCAGCAGUGGGGAAUAUUGCACAAUGGGCGGAAGCCUGAUGCAGCAACGCCGCGUGCGGGAUGACGGCCUUCGGGUUGUAAACCGCUUUCGCCUGUGACGAAGCGUGAGUGACGGUAAUGGGUAAAGAAGCACCGGCUAACUACGUG
rnacentral:rRNA from 1 species